UACGAAGGGUGCAAGCGUUACUCGGAAUUACUGGGCGUAAAGCGUGCGUAGGUGGUGGUUUAAGUCUGAUGUGAAAGCCCUGGGCUCAACCUGGGAAUGGCAUUGGAAACUGGGUCACUGGAGUGCGGUAGAGGAUGGCGGAAUUCCCGGUGUAGCAGUGAAAUGCGUAGAGAUCGGGAGGAACAUCCGUGGCGAAGGCGGCCAUCUGGACCAGCACUGACACUGAGGCACGAAAGCGUGGGGAGCAAACAGG
rnacentral:rRNA from 1 species